rnacentral:tRNA from 1 species
CAAGAGGUAGUUUAAGUAAAAUACUAGUUUUGGGAAUUGGUGAUAAGUUUUAAUACUUUCUCUUGA